GAUGAACGCUGGCGGCGUGCUUAACACAUGCAAGUCGAACGAUGAAGCCCAGCUUGCUGGGUGGAUUAGUGGCGAACGGGUGAGUAACACGUGAGUAACCUGCCCUUAACUCUGGGAUAAGCCUGGGAAACUGGGUCUAAUACCGGAUAGGAGCGUCCACCGCAUGGUGGGUGUUGGAAAGAUUUAUCGGUUUUGGAUGGACUCGCGGCCUAUCAGCUUGUUGGUGAGGUAAUGGCUCACCAAGGCGACGACGGGUAGCCGGCCUGAGAGGGUGACCGGCCACACUGGGACUGAGACACGGCCCAGACUCCUACGGGAGGCAGCAGUGGGGAAUAUUGCACAAUGGGCGCAAGCCUGAUGCAGAGACGCCGCGUGAGGGAUGACGGCCUUCGGGUUGUAAACCUCUUUCAGUAGGGAAGAAGCGAAAGUGACGGUACCGGCAGAAGAAGCACCGGCUAACUACGU
rnacentral:rRNA from 1 species